rnacentral:pre_miRNA from 1 species
GAUUUCAACUGAAAAAGUUAUCAACAACAAAGUUAAAUAACUCAUCAAGAUCUAAAACUUUUAUUUUGAUUAUUUCUUCAUCCGACAAAGUGAUACUAACAUUGUUCACAAAAUUGACGUAUAUCUUAUCUGGUUUUAUAAACAAUAACACAUAUAUGUAAAAUUUGUGAACAAUAUUACUAACACUUUGUCGAAUGAAGACAUAAUAAAAAUAAAAGUUUUAAAUCUUGAUGAGUUAUACAAUUUUGUUGUUGAUGACUUUUUCAAUUGAGAUC